UACGAAGGGGGCGAGCGUUGUUCGGAUUUACUGGGCGUAAAGGGCGCGCAGGCGGCUUUGUUUGUCAGGCGUGAAAGCCCCGGGCUUAACCUGGGAACUGCGUUUGAUACGGCAGGGCUAGAGUUCGGGAGAGGAGAGUGGAAUUCCCAGUGUAGAGGUGAAAUUCGUAGAUAUUGGGAAGAACACCGGUGGCGAAGGCGGCUCUCCGGACCGAUACUGACGCUGAGGCGCGAAAGCGUGGGGAGCAAACAGG
rnacentral:rRNA from 1 species